rnacentral:rRNA from 1 species
UCGAGGGGCAGCGGGGAGCAAGCUUGCUUGCUCUGCCGGCGACCGGCGCACGGGUGAGUAACACGUAUGCAACCUGCCCUCCGCAGGGGGAUAACCCGGAGAAAUCCGGACUAAUACCGCGUGGUACACCUGUGGGGCAUCCCACGGGUGUUAAAAGGAAGUGAUUCCGGCGGAGGAUGGGCAUGCGGCGCAUUAGCUUGUUGGCGGGGUAACGGCCCACCAAGGCUACGAUGCGUAGGGGUUCUGAGAGGAAGGUCCCCCACACUGGUACUGAGACACGGACCAGACUCCUACGGGAGGCAGCAGUGAGGAAUAUUGGUCAAUGGGCGGGAGCCUGAACCAGCCAAGUCGCGUGAGGGAAGACGGUCCUAUGGAUUGUAAACCUCUUUAGGCGGGGAGCAAUGCCGGGCACGCGUGCCCGGAGGGAGAGUACCCGCAGAAUAAGCAUCGGCUAACUCCGUGCCAGCAGCCGCGGUAAUACGGAGGAUGCGAGCGUUAUCCGGAUUUAUUGGGUUUAAAGGGUGCGUAGGCGGACGCUUAAGUCAGCGGUAAAAUUGCGGGGCUCAACCUCGUCGAGCCGUUGAAACUGGGUGCCUUGAGUGGGCGAGAAGUACGCGGAAUGCGUGGUGUAGCGGUGAAAUGCAUAGAUAUCACGCAGAACUCCGAUUGCGAAGGCAGCGUACCGGCGCCCAACUGACGCUGAAGCACGAAAGUGCGGGGAUCAAACAGGAUUAGAUACCCUGGUAGUCCACGCAGUAAACGAUGAAUGCUAGUUGUCCGGGGCGAUUGAGUUCUGGGUGACACAGCGAAAGCGUUAAGCAUUCCACCUGGGGAGUACGCCGGCAACGGUGAAACUCAAAGGAAUUGACGGGGGCC